GUGUCAGCCGCCGCGGUAAUACGAAGGGUGCAAGCGUUGCUCGGAAUUACUGGGCGUAAAGCGUGCGUAGGUGGUUGUUUAAGUCUGUUGUGAAAGCCCUGGGCUCAACCUGGGAACUGCAGUGGAAACUGGACAACUAGAGUGUGGUAGAGGGUAGCGGAAUUCCCGGUGUAGCAGUGAAAUGCGUAGAGAUCGGGAGGAACAUCCAUGGCGAAGGCAGCUACCUGGACCACACUGACACUGAGGCACGAAGCGUGGGANCAAACAGGAUUAGAUACCCGUGGUAGUCCACGCCCUAAACGAUGCGAACUGGGAUGUUGGUGCAAUUUGGCACGCAGUAUCGAAGCUAACG
rnacentral:rRNA from 1 species